ensembl:lncRNA
AAUAAAAAAGAGGUUAUCUCAGUGUGCCUCUGCAGUUUUCCCAACACUUAGUGGAAACACAGGAAAUUGAGAUUUAGGCAUCAGAGGCUUGGAUGACUUUUUCACGGUGCAGCAGUGUGUAGAUCAACAUGAUCAGCGCUCGCUGAGAUGUAAACUCAAGUGAGACUGUCUGAGCGCAGACUGAGCAAAGGAUCUAGAAACAGCUGUUUAACAGCAGGUCGCUCAGGCAGGGUUACACACCAUCAUAGCAGGCUAAAGACUGACAGAGUAACUCUUUACACUGUACUUAGUUCCUAUAGGAAAGAAGAAAAGCAAGCACAGGAUGUGAAUGGGUGGAGAUGUUUUUUAGUGUAAUUAAAAUGAUAAAAGUCUUUUAUUUAGCCGUAAUGGUCAUUUUCAUUUUCCUUUGUUAUCAAUUCGUUUUUUGUUGUUGUUGUUGUUUUUUUUUUUUGGUAAAUUUCACUGUGCAUUUUUCUUUUAAUGGGAAAGAAUUAACUUACUAAUGUUAUUUUUUUUAUUUUCAUAUAAGUUAAUAAUACCACCCGAGGGAUUAAUAAAGUUUCAUCUAAUCUAAUCUAAAAUUAAAAAAUAAUAUAUAAUAAUAAUAAUAUAACCACAGUUCAUGUUAAAACUAAAUAAUUGUUUAUCCCCAGUAUAACAACUAGCCUGUCUCUAAGAAUUUGCCUGUUUCAGGAUCUUGACAUACCCUUUCAGGGUCAAAGGUGGCCCAUAGAUACCCUCUGUGGGAUCAAUUUCAUUAGGUGUCAAUGAUCCUCUAUAUCUUGUAACAAGGUUGACAGUUGUUGGCUCUUCUUUCCACUUUUAUUUCUAAACUUAGCUUCUUUAAUGCAUUAAAGCACCACAUGUAUAGCUUUUGUUAUCUAUCUUUUCUUUGAUUAGUUUCUUUCCAAAAUGAGUGAAUUACAAAAAACAUAUCAGAUGUGAAAAAAAAAUGAACAUAUGAUGAAAUCAAUGUGAGAGUCCAUUCAUUAAACAAACUGUCACCAAGAGGCCAUUCCUAAGAAAUUUGCCAAUGAGAGCA